rnacentral:rRNA from 1 species
UACAGAGGGGGCGAGCGUUGUUCGGAAUUACUGGGCGUAAAGGGCGCGUAGGCGGCCUCUUAAAUCGAACGUGAAAUCCCCGGGCUCAACCCGGGAACUGCGUCCGAUACUGGGGGGCUUGAAUCCGGGAGAGGGAUGUGGAAUUCCAGGUGUAGCGGUGAAAUGCGUAGAUAUCUGGAGGAACACCGGUGGCGAAGGCGGCAUCCUGGACCGGUAUUGACGCUGAGGCGCGAAAGC